AUUUGAAAUCUGGCCCCAGGCCCGAGUUGUAAUUUGCAGAGGAUGCUUCGGGCGCGGCGCCUUCCAAGUCCCCUGGAACGGGGCGCCACAGAGGGUGAGAGCCCCGUCAGGUCGGCCGCCAAGCCUAUGUGAAGCUCCUUCGACGAGUCGAGUAGUUUGGGAAUGCUGCUCUAAAUGGGAGGUAGACCCCUUCUAAAGCUAAAUACCGGCCAGAGACCGAUAGCGCACAAGUAGAGUGAUCGAAAGAUGAAAAGCACUUUGAAAAGAGGGUUAAACAGUACGUGAAAUUGUUGAAAGGGAAGCGCUUGUGACCAGACGUGCGCCGGGCGCUCAGCGGGCGUUCUCGCCCGUGCACUCGCCCCGGCGCAGGCCAGCGUCGGUUCGGGAGGGGGGAUAAAGGCGCCAGGAACGUAGCUCCCCCGGGAGUGUUAUAGCCUGGCGCGCCAUGCCCCCGCCCGGACCGAGGUUCGCGCUCCGCAAGGACGCUGGCGUAAUGGUCCCCAGCGGCCCGUCUUGAAACACGGACCAAGGAGUCGAGGUUUUGCGCGAGUGUUUGGGUGUCAAACCCGCACGCGUAAUGAAAGUGAACGCAGGUGGGAGCUUCGGCGCACCACCGACCGAUCCUGAUGUUCUCGGAUGGAUUUGAGUAGGAGCGUAGGGCCUCGGACCCGAAAGAUGGUGAACUAUACUUGGAUAGGGUGAAGCCAGAGGAAACUCUGGUGGAGGCUCGCAGCGGUUCUGACGUGCAAAUCGAUCGUCAAAUCUGAGUAUGGGGGCGAAAGACUAAUCGAACCAUCUAGUAGCUGGUUACCGCCGAAGUUUCCCUCAGGAUAGCAGUGUUGAUCUCAGUUUUAUGAGGUAAAGCGAAUGAUUAGGGACUCGGGGGCGCUUUUCAGCCUUCAUCCAUUCUCAAACUUUAAAUAUGUAAGAAGCCCUUGUUGCUUAGUUGAACGUGGGCCUUCGAAUGCAGCAACACUAGUGGGCCAUUUUUGGUAAGCAGAACUGGCGAUGUGGGAUGAACCAUACGGGGGGUUAAGGUGCCGGAGUGGACGCUCAUCAGACACCACAAAAGGCGUUAGCACAUCUUGACAGCAGGACGGUGGCCAUGGAAGUCGGAAUCCGCUAAGGACUGUGUAACAACUCACCUGCCGAAUGUGCUAGCCCUGAAAAUGGAUGGCGCUCAAGCGUCCCACCCAUACCCCCCCCUCAGGGUAGAAACGAUGCCCUGAGGAGUAGGCGGCCGCAGCGCUGCG
rnacentral:rRNA from 1 species